rnacentral:rRNA from 1 species
GAUGAACGCUGGCGGCCUGUUUAACACAUGCAAGUCGAACGAAGAGGGUUAGAAUGAGAGCUUCGGCAGGAUUUCUUUCCAUCUUAGUGGCGGACGGGUGAGUAACGUGUGGGCAACCUGCCCUGUACUGGGGAAUAAUCAUUGGAAACGAUGACUAAUACCGCAUGUGGUUCUCGGAAGGCAUCUUCUGAGGAAGAAAGGAUCUAUUCGGUACAGGAUGGGCCCGCAUCUGAUUAGCUAGUUGGUGAGAUAACAGCCCACCAAGGCGACGAUCAGUAGCCGACCUGAGAGGGUGAUCGGCCACAUUGGGACUGAGACACGGCCCAAACUCCUACGGGAGGCAGCAGAGGGGAAUAUUGCACAAUGGGCGAAAGCCUGAUGCAGCAACGCCGCGUGAAGGAUGAAGGGUUUCGGCUCGUAAACUUCUAUCAAUAGGGAAGAAACAAAUGACGGUACCUAAAUAAGAAGCCCCGGCUAAUUACGUACCAGCAGCCGCGGUAAUACGUAGGGGGCAAGCGUUAUCCGGAAUUACUGGGUGUAAAGGGAGCGUAGGCGGCAUGGUAAGCCAGAUGUGAAAGCCUUGGGCUUAACCCGAGGAUUGCAUUUGGAACUACCAAGCUAGAGUACAGGAGAGGAAAGCGGAAUUCCUAGUGUAGCGGUGAAAUGCGUAGAUAUUAGGAAGAACACCAGUGGCGAAGGCGGCUUUCUGGACUGAAACUGACGCUGAGGCUCGAAAGCGUGGGGAGCAAACAGG